rnacentral:rRNA from 1 species
UACAGAGGGUGCGAGCGUUAAUCGGAAUUACUGGGCGUAAAGCGUGCGUAGACGGCUAUCUAAGUCGGGUGUGAAAGCCCCGGGCUCAACCUGGGAAUUGCAUUCGAGACUGAAUAGCUAGGGUGCGGUAGAGGGAAGCGGAAUUUCCGGUGUAGCGGUGAAAUGCGUAGAUAUCGGAAGGAACAUCAGUGGCGAAAGCGGCUUCCUGGACCAGCACCGACGUUCAGGCACGAAAGCGUGGGGAGCAAGCAGG